GAUGAAGAACGUAGCGAAAUGCGAUAAUUAAUGUGAAUUGCAGAAUUCAGUGAAUCAUCGAAUCUUUGAACGCACAUUGCGCCCGCCAGUAUUCUGGCGGGCAUGCCUGUUCGAGCGUCAUUUCAACCAUCAAGCCCCAGGCUUGUGUUGGGGACCUGCGGCUGCCGCAGGCCCUGAAAACCAGUGGCGGGCUCGCUGUCACACCGGGCGUAGUAGAUUUUAUCUCGCUCAGGGCGUGCUGCGGGUUCCGGCCGUUAAAAAGCCUUUUUUACCCAAGGUUGACCUCGGAUCAGGUAGGAAGACCCGCUGAACUUAAGCAUAUCAAUAAGCGGAGGA
rnacentral:misc_RNA from 1 species